GCUGUUUCUAUGUUAACGUGAGGUCCACUCAACAUGCUGUUUCUAUCUUUACGUGAGGUCCACUCAACAUGCUGUUUCUAUGUUUACGUGAGGUCCACUCAACAUGCUGUUUCUAUGUUUACGUGAGGUCCACUCAACAUGCUGUUUCUAUCUUUACGUGAGGUCCACUCAACAUGCUGUUUCUAUCUUUACGUGAGGUCCACUCAACAUGCUGUUUCUAUGUUUACGUGAGGUCCACUCAACAUGCUGUUUCUAUGUUUACGUGAGGUCCACUCAACAUGCUGUUUCUAUGUUUACGUGAGGUCCACUCAACAUGCUGUUUCUAUGUUUACGUGAGGUCCACUCAACAUGCUGUUUCUAUGUUUACGUGAGGUCCACUCAACAUGCUGUUUCUAUGUUUACGUGAGGUCCACUCAACAUGCUGUUUCCUGUGUAAUGACCUAUGUGAAAUACAGGAAGUGCUUGA
ensembl:lncRNA